rnacentral:rRNA from 1 species
AUUGAACGCUGGCGGCAUGCCUUACACAUGCAAGUCGAACGGUAACAGGUUAAGCUGACGAGUGGCGAACGGGUGAGUAAUAUAUCGGAACGUGCCCAGUCGUGGGGAUAACUGCUCGAAAGAGCAGCUAAUACCGCAUACGACCUGAGGGUGAAAGCGGGGGAUCGCAAGACCUCGCGCGAUUGGAGCGGCCGAUAUCAGAUUAGGUAGUUGGUGGGGUAAAGGCCUACCAAGCCGACGAUCUGUAGCUGGUCUGAUAGGAGGACCAGCCACACUGGGAGUGAGCAGCGGCCCAGACUCCUACGGGAGGCAGCAGUGGGGAAUUUUGGACAAUGGACGCAAGUCUGAUCCAGCCAUGCCGCGUGCGGGAAGAAGGCCUUCGGGUUGUAAACCGCUUUUGUCAGGGAAGAAAAGGUUCUGGUUAAUACCUGGGACUCAUGACGGUACCUGAAGAAUAAGCACCGGCUAACUACGUGCCAGCCGCCGCGGUAACAC